rnacentral:lncRNA from 1 species
AAUGUCACAGAUGGUAUCAGAGUAGAAUUACGCAGAUAAAAUCCCUUACACUAAGGCCUUAGGUAGAAAGACCCUUAGAGUACCUAGGAAGAAUAAGUCCUCUUUUCAAAAGUUAGACCACUAACUCGUGUCUUUCUUUUCUUUGUAGGAAUAAUGCGAGGAAGACCAUCCGUAGAGCGUACUGAGUGAUCUGAAGCCCUGGAUCACCCGACCAGGGCUGAAUUUGUCGAAUUCUUCUAAGUCAUCUAAGGAUUGACUGCAACAGUAGGACAAAAUCAAGCCAUCUCUUGUCCACCUUCUGCCCCAGAAUGCCGAAUGAACAAAAGAUCCAUUUCCUAUAACAUAGGAGAGUUUAGGAAGCUUAACCUGCCACAUUUUGAAGGUAGCCCUGACCUUUAGUAACUGAAGCCUGGAUCCGACAGAUAGAGAAGCUUUUCUCGAUCAUAGACCUGAUUAAGAUACAGAAGGUUCUCCUUACAACCUUAAUGUUAAACGAUGAAGUCGAACAUUUGUAGUGAUUUAAGAAGGAAGUCUUACCUAUCCCUACCACUUGAGAAGUUUUCAUGGAUGCAUUCUUUAAUAACUUUUUUCUUGCCUAUGUUUAAGAAAAGAAAGAGGAGUAAUUUUAGGACCUUUGCUAAGGAAAUUUAACAGUUGCCUAGUAUGCAGCUUGUUUCGUCCAACUGUCUAGAUUCGCCCCUCUAAUGGUCACCCCUGACAGUCGAAAAGGUAGUAAGUUUCUAAAGGGCCUUCGUGCCAAUAUUUAUGACCAAGUCGCGAUGCUGAGACCCAGCUCAUAUGCGAAGGUGUAAGAACAUGCUCAGUUGGCUGAAGAUCUCAUAUCGACCAAGCACCAAUGCAUUGUCCGAGUCUGUACCCAACAACAACAACCCCAGUAAAUAGCCACUCUAUAAACAAACCAGAGUUGCCCUUCCCCCUAUUUUGCCUCCACUUAUGGGUUAGCUUGCCCAACCUACCUAACCUUAUCAGCAUUGUGGUCGCUCGCAUGGUGACCUACCCUAUCGACGUAUCAAUCGCGCUUGAUAUCAAUGCGAAAGCACCCAACAUCUUAUAAAAGACUGCCCCCAGCGACCGAAGGACACAACUAAGCUUGUAGUUUAGGGUCGUGUGUACCACCUAGAUAAACCUGAUGCUCUCCCCGCUCUUGUUCUUAUCCAGGGUAUGCUUUCUAUUCAUGAUACUUCUGCCAAGGUUUUGAUCGAUACAAGUGCCUGU